CCUACGGGAGGCAGCAGUGGGGAAUAUUGGGCAAUGGGCGCAAGCCUGACCCAGCAACGCCGCGUGCAGGAAGAAGGCUUUCGGGUUGUAAACUUCUUUUCUCAGGGACGAAGCAAGUGACGGUACCUGAGGAAUAAGCCACGGCUACAUACGUGCCAGCAGCCGCGGUAAUACGUAGGUGGCAAGCGUUAUCCGGAUUUACUGGGUGUAAAGGGCGUGUAGGCGGGACUGCAAGCCAGUUGUGAAAACCACGGGGUCAAACUGUGGCCUGCAUUUGAAACUGGAGUUCUUGAGUACUGGAGAGGCAGACGGAAUUCGUGGUGUAGCGGUGAAAUGCGUAGAUAUUAGGAGGAACACCAGUGGCGAAGGCAGUCUGCUGGGGAGCAACUGACGCUGAGGCGCGAAAGCGUGGGGAGCAAACAGGAUUAGAUACCCCGGUAGUC
rnacentral:rRNA from 1 species